rnacentral:tRNA from 1 species
UUCAUGGCUCAGUGGUAGAGCAUAUGCUUUACAUGCAGAUGGUCCCAGGUUCAAUACCCAGGUAGAUAAC